rnacentral:rRNA from 1 species
AAACCUUACCAACUCUUGACAUGAUAGCCGCAGGUAUAGAGAUAUACUUUCAGUUCGGCCGGGCUAUCACAGGUGUUGCAUGGCUGUCG